UGGGGAAUUUUGGACAAUGGGCGCAAGCCUGAUCCAGCAAUGCCGCGUGCAGGAUGAAGGCCUUCGGGUUGUAAACUGCUUUUGUACGGAACGAAAAGGCUCUGGUUAAUACCUGGGGCUCAUGACGGUACCGUAAGAAUAAGCACCGGCUAACUACGUGCCAGCAGCCGCGGUAAUACGUAGGGUGCAAGCGUUAAUCGGAAUUACUGGGCGUAAAGCGUGCGCAGGCGGUUAUGUAAGACAGAUGUGAAAUCCCCGGGCUCAACCUGGGACCUGCAUUUGUAACUGCAUAGCUAGAGUACGGCAGAGGGGGAUGGAAUUCCGAGUGUAGCAGUGAAAUGCGUAGAUAUGCGGAGGAACACCGAUGGCGAAGGCAAUCCCCUGGGCCUGUACUGACGCUCAUGCACGAAAGCGUGGGGAGCAAACA
rnacentral:rRNA from 1 species